rnacentral:rRNA from 1 species
UACGUAGGGACCAAGCGUUGUUCGGAUUUACUGGGCGUAAAGCGCGUGUAGGCGGCUUUGCAAGUCGGAUGUGAAAGCCCACGGCUCAACCGUGGAAGUGCAUCCGAAACUGCAUGGCUGGAGUCUCGGAGAGGAAGGUGGAAUGCUUGGUGUAGAGGUGAAAUUCGUAGAUAUCAAGCAGAACACCUGCGGCGAAGGCGGCCUUCUGGACGAUGACUGACGCUGAGACGCGAAAGCGUGGGGAGCAAACAGG